rnacentral:rRNA from 1 species
CCCUGCCAUUUGUACACACCGCCCGUCGUUUCUUCCGACUGAUGCUUAUUGCGAGUUGCAUGGACGAAAGGAAAUGCCGCGAGUGCUAAGUUUUGGAGGAAGAAAAAGUCGUAACAAGGUUAUCGUAG